rnacentral:rRNA from 1 species
CCUACGGGAGGCAGCAGUCGAGAAUCUUCCACUAAUGUGCGAAAGCAUGAUGGAGCGACGCCGCGUGGACGAUGAAGGCCUUCGGGUCGUAAAGUCCUGUCACAUGGGCCUAAUCCCUCAGAGCUAAUACCUCUUGAGGUCGAAGUCCCAUGAGAGGAAGCACCGGCUAAAUUCGUGCCAGCAGCCGCGGUAAUACGAAUGGUGCAAGCGUUGUUCGGAAUCACUGGGCAUAAAGAGCACGUAGGCGGUGGCGUAAGUCAGUUGUGAAAUCCCUCGGCUCAACCGAGGAACUGCAACUGAAACUGCGCCGCUAGAGUGCGGGAGGGGAGAGUGGAAUUCCAGGUGGAGCGGUGAAAUGCGUAGAUAUCUGGAGGAACGCCGGAGGCGAAAGCGACUCUCUGGUCCGCGACUGACGCUGAGGUGCGAAAGCUAGGGGAGCGAACAGGAUUAGAUACCCUGGUAGUCCUAGCCGUAAACGAUGGGCACUAAGUAGAGGGGCUCCGAAGGCCUCUCUGCCGGAGCUAAUGUGUUAAGUGCCCCGCCUGGGGAGUAUGGUCGCAAGGCUAAAACUCAAAGGAAUUGACGG